rnacentral:rRNA from 1 species
UACGUAGGGUGCGAGCGUUGUCUGGAAUUACUGGGCGUAAAGAGCUCGUAGGUGGUUUGUCGCGUCGUCUGUGAAAUUCCGGGGCUUAACCUCGGGCGUGCAGGCGAUACGGGCAAUACUUGAGUGCUGUAGGGGAGACUGGAAUUCCUGGUGUAGCGGUGAAAUGCGCAGAUAUCAGGAGGAACACCAAUGGCGAAGGCAGGUCUCUGGGCAGUUACUGACGCUGAGGAGCGAAAGCAUGGGUAGCGAACAGGAUUA